rnacentral:tRNA from 1 species
CGGGUUGUAGAGGUGUCCGCUUGCAUGGGGUGCUAGGGGUCGAGUGUUCGAAUCACUCCGUCCCGACCA